GACGAACGCUGGCGGCGUGCUUAACACAUGCAAGUCGAACGGUGAAGCGCCUUCCUUUUUGGUGGGUGUGGAUGAGUGGCGAACGGGUGAGUAACACGUGAGUAACCUGCCCCCUUCUUCUGGAUAACCGCAUGAAAGUGUGGCUAAUACGGGAUAUUCUGGGUCUGUCGCAUGAUGGGUCUGGGAAAGAUAUUGUUUCGGUGGGGGAUGGGCUCGCGGCCUAUCAGCUUGUUGGGGGGGUGAUGGCCUACCAAGGCGGUGACGGGUAGCCGGCCUGAGAGGGGGGACGGUCACACUGGGACUGAGACACGGCCCAGACUCCUACGGGAGGCAGCAGUGGGGAAUAGUGCACAAUGGGCGCAAGCCUGAUGCAGCGACGCCGCGUGAGGGAUGGAGGCCUUCGGGUUGUGAACCUCUUUCGCCAGUGAAGCAGGCCUGCCUCGUUUGUGGGUGGGUUGACGGUAGCUGGAUAAGAAGCGCCGGCUAACUACGUG
rnacentral:rRNA from 1 species